CCUCGCUCAUGUCCGCCGCCUCCCAAGCCCCUCCUGUGUCCGCCGCCGCGGCCUAGGACGUGGAAGCCGCCGCGCGCCGUGGAGGUGAUGGAGAGAUUUGUUUUUGAUUCAUUUUUUCUCCUGGUUUGAGGUUUGAGGAUUGACCAAGUACUACUUGAUUUUUGAAGAUCGACAUGGAUGUUGAAUUUGUACUUGAUUUGAGGUUUGAGGAUCGAAUUUGUACUUGUUGGUACCGUGAUUUUGUCCUGAUACAUGAUGUACCUCGCUUGAAUUCCUUUUUUCUAUGUUAGAUUCAUGAGGUACUGUGUUUUUUUUUCGGGAAUGAGGUACUGUGUUUUGAUGACUGUUCGUACUGUGAUUUUGUCUUGGUACAUGAUGUACUCCUCUUUGAUUUUUUUUCCAUGUUAGAUGAUUGGUACCGUGUUUCGAUGAUUGUUUGUACUGUGAUUAGUACACGAUGUACUGUUAUGAAUUGAUGUACAAAGUCUUCAUAUGACGAAGUACUUAGAUUGUUUCUUCUUCUUUUUUCUAUCUCCAUUGAAAAUUGAGGAGGUAUUUAUCAUGUAAUGUGAUGUAAUUUAUCGUUGAUGAGGUACUUAUUAAUUGUAUGAGUUGAGAACUAUCAUGUACCUUGAUGUAUCUGUGAUGUAUCUUCAUGUACUUGUCAUAUACCUUGAUGUAUCUGUCAUGUGCAUGAGGUACUUCAAAAACUGUUAAAAUGCAUAUGAUGUACCAUACGAUGUAUUUGUAUCAUAAGUUCAUGUACAGGGGAUAUUUAAAAACUGAUAUGGUACAAUUCAUAUAACCUAAUGUACUAAAUAUGUAUUUAAAAAUAUUUCAUGUACCACAAUGUACUUAAAAGUGGGGAGAGAGAAAAAAAGAAAGAAAGAGAAAGUUGUCGGGUGGUAGUACUGUUAAUCCUCAGAAAUUAACUAAGAGAGAGAAAAGGAAGAAGGCCAAACAUGUGUCCACGAAAGGGGUCGCAAAUACCUGGGGUACUUAAAAAAAAAUCUGACUAGCUCAUCUCGUCCUAAAAAAAAGAAAAUCUGAGUCAUCUCUCUCAGUCGCCCGCUGAUCUAGGCGCUGACCCACUCACCGACCCACCGAACCCAAGCCCGAUCACGCUGCCCCAGCCCGGCCC
rnacentral:lncRNA from 1 species